ensembl:lncRNA
GGCAUGACAGACAAUGUGAGGACAGCUGCCAGCAAUGUCCUGGUGGCUCUGGCCCGGAUGCACUUCAGCCUGGUGAUGGCCGAGCUCCAGGGCCACCUGAAGGCCGUGGGGGAGAUGUCCAAGGAGUCUGUUCUCAUCACCCUGAGCAAACUGUUCAGCAGCUAUGCUCCACAGUGCAUCCCCUUCAUGUGGCUGAUGCUGGCUGGCCUGCGCAGUGUGGUGGGCCAGGUGAGGAGUGGCCAGACCCUGCACAUCGCUUGUGCUGUUGUGAAACAAUGGUUGGAUGGAGUCAAGAUUCAUUUUUCCCCUGGAAAGCAAUGCCCCUGGCCUGCCAUGGAGAAAGAGCAAAUCUAUGAGAAUCUUCACCAGCUCUUCUUCUCUGUGCUCCUGUGGACGCAGAUGCUGCUGUUUGUGGUGCCAGCCCAGUACACGGGCACACUGAUCUUGGUCUCCUGCUGUGUCCAAGCUCUGGCUGAGAGAGGGGACCUGACAGAUAGAAGAACUGGAUCCCCAUUUCGUCAGCUCCAUGUUUCAAGGUGGUGGCAGGGAGCCCUGUUGCAGGCAGUGAACUCCAAGCUGCUGCCUUACUGCUGAUGCAAAACCUCCACAGCAGGAUCCACAGAGCUGUGGGGGCCAUGUGGGCUGCUGAGAUCCCCCUGCUGCUGCAGUGCCUUGAAGGGAAAGAUGAGAGCUUCCCGGACUCUGCAGAGUGGGAGUGCUGUUUGCUGAAGGUACAGCAUUGCCAGGAGGUGUGGUACAGAGAAGUGCUUGCCUGCCUCAAGGAGCCCUGCUCCCUACAAGCCACCGCGGGACAGGAACAGCCUCUCAAACACUGCUGUGGAGUGGCUGCACGCCUUUGUGGCACUGCCUCUUCCUCUCUGUCCCAACCCCAAGAGGGGUCUUAGGAGAAGAGUGGCAGGAAGCCUUAAUGGAGGGAAUGCUAUGGGAGCUGGGAGAGGGACUGUUCUUCCAGGCACCUCUCCCCAGAAGGCUGCAGUGAUUUGGGAAUGAGGGAAGAGGCAGAGGGCAAGGGAACAUUGGCUUCUCCUGUUCUCCAGCAAUUCCUGAGGGCAUUGCUGGAGACCAUAGAGGACGAGGCCUGGACCGAGGCCCUGAGCUGUGAGCUGAGCAGGUGGCUGAGCUGCUCUCCCAGCAGCUCUGGAGAAAAGGUGGGCUCCCCCCCAGCUCUACCCAGCAGUCACCCAUGCAGUCUUUCCUGUAUAAGGCUCUGGGGACGGCACUGGGAGCUUGUAAAGGAGUCCUCCACAUCCAAGAGAAGCUGCUGCAGCACCUGGAGGAAACAAAUGCGGAGGAGCCAUCCAAGGCCCAGAUGGAGCUGGACAGCACGAGAGCUCAUGCCACACGCAGCUCUCUAAUCCUCGCCCAUGGCAGCUUAGCACUGCGUGCCUCCAAGGAACAGCUGCUUGCCUGCCUGGAAGGAGACAUCAUGGGCGACAUCCUGCUGCUCUACAGCUGCAGCUGCCGGGACUUGCUGAAGAAGUAUUACUUGGGCAUCCCUGUCUCCCAAGUGCCCCUCAGGGUGGUUCUGGCCCUGGAGCAGUUGAGAUGAAUUAUUCCGACUUUCCUUUCUCUGGAGAAACAUCCAUUGACAGCAGUGACAUCUUGCUUGAAGGAAGAUGGUGCUGAACAGAAAUCACAGCUGCUGUGGGAAAUGGUAUGUUACCGUGCCCAGCUGCUGUUUGCAGCCAACGAGCUAUUUCUGAGCAGGUUUCUAGUUUUAGACCAACGGGAACCUGUGAUUAUCAAAGAAGUUGUGAGAACCUCUUGAAUGCCCCAUCCCUGGAAGUCUUUAAGAACCGGUUGGAUGGGGCCCUGGGAAACAUGAUCUAGUGGAAGGUGUCCUUACCCAUGGCAGAGAAACUAGGUUACCUUUAAAGUUUCCUUUGAACACAAAGCAUUCCAUGAUUCUAUGAAUUUAGCCAUUACUGGGAGCUGUGAAAAUUUCACCAAGGAUACAAAAUUGCCAUGAAAAGAUCUAUGUAUUUUCUAACUUCCAAAUACGAAGUUACUCCACAUGCAUUUAAUCACUGUGUAUUUCUGUGUGUACGUUGUGAGCCCUGGGAAAACGUCCAGCAACCGAAGGAAAAACCGAAGGUUAAAUGAGAUCAAGUAACAAUGCUUUGGCUUUGGACAUGGAACAUGAAGAAGAGUUCCCACAACUGAAGUGGUUCAUGUGACAAGUGUCAAGUUUCUGACUGGAGAUCUCCCAGGAAGGAGAAGAGGGAGCAGGAAGAAGAGCAAUUUUGUGCAUGGAUGGUAAAAGUUGCCAGAUGAAGAAAUAUGCAUUCUGGAACUGCAGUAAGACCUGGUAUUUGCUCACCAACACCUUAUGGCUGAACACAUGAAUAAUGAGUGCAACAAUGCUGGCAGUAACUCAAAUGGAAACUGGGACUUACGGUAGAAGGAAAAAGAAUUACAAAAAAUAAAAAUAAAAUCAAAGGAUAAAAGAGUUAAAAAAGAUAAAAAGUUUUAAAAGAUAAAAGAGUUCCUGACCUCUAAGAACACUGCAAAAGGAAGCAUGGAUGCAGAACAUUGCUCUGAGCUGUAAAGUGCUCCCCUGCAACCUCCUGCGCCACACCAAACAAGUCAUGAUCAUCAGUAUGUUGGAGACCUGUACUUGUUCAUUUAUUUUCAUCAGCUGCAAAUAUUAGGAAGAGACAGUUGCCAGAGAGGAGUUGCUCGACAGAAAAGUCAGAAAAUUCAGAAAAUGAACAUCUCAGAGCCCAAACCAUGCAAACAAAUCAGUGGCCUCGUCUUCUAUUCAAGCUAUCUCCAUUUCAUCUGUAACAUAGAGUUUGCUAGCUCUUAUUGUCACUUUCAGGCUCUCCUGUCCCAACUUAAUGUAAUAAUAAAAACAGGUACUUUUUAGUCUAUUUAAAUGGCAUUUAAAAUAUUUAUAUUGCUCUUUCAAAGAAAAAUAAACUAAAUUUUGGUCAAAACUAUUAUAAUGAUGAUAUAUUAAUCUUGGAAACUGCCAUCUGUUGUAAUUUACUUUGUGCUUUGACACUACUUUCACUGUGAAACUGUCUUCAUUGCCAAAAGCAAAAUAUCAUUAAAUACUCA